rnacentral:rRNA from 1 species
CCUGGCUCAGAACGAACGCGGGCGGCGUGCUUAACACAUGCAAGUCGAUCGGUAACAGGUGUAGCAAUACAUGCUGACGAGAGGCGGACGGGUGAGGAAUAUUUGGGAAUCUGCCCAUCAGCGGGGGACAACCCGGGGAAACUCGGGCUAAUACCGCAUACGCUCUAAGGAGGAAGGCCGGGGACCGCAAGGCCUGGCACUGAUGGAUGAGCCCAAAUCGGAUUAGCUAGUUGGCGGGGUAACGGCCCACCAAGGCGACGAUCCGUAGCUGGUCUGAGAGGACGAUCAGCCACACCGGAACUGAGACACGGUCCGGACUCCUACGGGAGGCAGCAGUGGGGAAUAUUGGACAAUGGGGGAAACCCUGAUCCAGCGACGCCGCGUGGGUGAAGAAGGCCUGCGGGUUGUAAAGCCCUUUCGGUAGGGAAGAAAUCUCUUGCUCUAACACAGCAAGGGUUUGACUUAACCUACAUAAGAAGCACCGGCUAACUCUGUGCCAGCAGCCGCGGUAAUACAGAGGGUGCGAGCGUUAAUCGGAAUUACUGGGCGUAAAGCGCACGUAGUCGGCUUGCCAAGUCGGGUGUGAAAUCCCCGGGCUCAACCUGGGAACUGCAUCCGAAACUGGCUUGCUAGAGUAUGGGAGAGGGAAGCGGAAUUUCUGGUGUAGCAGUGAAAUGCGUAGAUAUCAGAAGGAACAUCAGUGGCGAAGGCGGCUUCCUGGACCAAUACUGACGAUCAGGUGCGAAAGCGUGGGGAGCAAACAGGAUUAGAUACCCUGGUAGUCCACGCCCUAAACGAUGACAACUGGAUGUCGGGAGGGUUUGCCUUCCGGUGUCGUAGCUAACGCGUUAAGUUGUCCGCCUGGGAAGUACGGCCGCAAGGUUGAAACUCAAAG